rnacentral:rRNA from 1 species
AGGGUUCGAUUCUGGCUCAGGAUGAACGCUGGCGGCGUGCUUAACACAUGCAAGUCGAACGGAGACUGUUUGUGAAGCGGAAGGGCUUGCCCGGAAGUGGAAUGAGCAGUCUUAGUGGCGGACGGGUGAGUAACGCGUGGGUAACCUACCUCAUACAGGGGGAUAGCAGUUGGAAACGACUGAUAAAACCGCAUAAAACGGCAGUAAGGCAUCUUACAACCGUCAAAUAUUUAUAGGUAUGAGAUGGGCCCGCGUCUGAUUAGAUAGUUGGUGGGGUAACGGCCUACCAAGUCAGCGAUCAGUAGCCGGCCUGAGAGGGUGAACGGCCACAUUGGGACUGAGACACGGCCCAAACUCCUACGGGAGGCAGCAGUGGGGAAUAUUGGACAAUGGGGGGAACCCUGAUCCCAGCGACGCCGCGUGAGUGAAGAAGUAUUUCGGUAUGUAAAGCUCUAUCAGCAGGGAAGAUGAUGACGGUACCUGACUAAGAAGCCCCGGCUAACUACGUGCCAGCCGCCGC